GAGGAGGAGGAGGAUGGGGAUGAAGGUCAUGGGGAUGGGGAUGAAGGUCAUGGGGAUGGAGGAGGAGAGGAAGAGGAUGGAGAUGGAGAAGGUGAGGAUGAAGAUGAUGGGGAUGGGAUGGGGAUGAAGGUCAUGGAGAUGGAGGAGGAGAGGAGGAGGAUGAUGGGGAUGAAGGUCAGGGGGAUGGAGGUGAGGAUGAUGGGGAUGAAGGGAUGAAGGUUGUGGAGAUGGAGGAGGAUGAAGGUGGUGAAGGUGAUGAAGAUGAAGGUGGUGGUGAAGGUGAGGAAAGUCAUGGAGAUGAAGAAGAUGAAGAUGAUGGAGAUGAAGGUCAUGGGGACGAAGAAGAUGAGGAAGGUCACGGAGAUAGAGCAGGCGAUGAAGAUGAUGGGGAUGGGAUGGGGAUGAAGGUCAUGGAAACGGAGAAGGUGAGGAAGAUGAUGAUGAAGAAGAUGAUGAAGGACACCCACCACCAAGAACUACAUGGAGGGCAGGGAGAUGACCAAGACGAAGAAGACAAACAUGAAGAUGAAGAUGAGGAUGAAGAUGAGGAUGAGGAUGAUGAAGAUGAUGACCCACCACCAAGAACUGCAUGGAGGACAGGGAGAUGACCAAGAUGAAGAAAACAAACAUGAAGAUGAAGACAAGGAUGAAGAUGAAGGUGAGGAUGAUGAAGAUGAAGAUGGUGACCCACCACAAGGAACUGCAUGGAGGGCAGGGAGACGACCGAGACGGAGAAAAUAUGGAUGAAGAUAAGGAUGAAGAUGGAGAUGAAGGUGAGGAUGAAGAUGAGAAUGAGAAUGAGGACGAAGGUGAGGAUGAAGAUGAGGAUGAAGGUGAGGAUGAUGAGGAUGAUGAAGGCCACUCACCACGAAGAACUGCAUGGAGGGCAGGGAGAUGACCAAGAUGGAGAAGAUAAGGAUGAAGAUAAGGAUGAAGAUGGAAACAAGGAUGAAGAUGAAGAUGAAGAUGAAGGUGAGGAUGAUGAAGAUGAAGGCCACUGACCACGAAGAACUGCAUGGAG
rnacentral:lncRNA from 1 species